rnacentral:rRNA from 1 species
UACGAAGGGGGCUAGCGUUGCUCGGAAUCACUGGGCGUAAAGGGUGCGUAGGCGGGUCUUUAAGUCAGGGGGGAAAUCCUGGAGCUCAACUCCAGAACUGCCUUUGAUACUGAGGAUCUUGAGUUCGGGAGAGGUGAGUGGAACUGCGAGUGUAGAGGUGAAAUUCGUAGAUAUUCGCAAGAACACCAGUGGCGAAGGCGGCUCACUGGCCCGAUACUGACGCUGAUGCGCGAAAGCGUGGGGAGCAAACAGG